UGGGGUGUAGCUCAGGGGUAGAGCGUUUGACUACAGAUCAAGAGGUUCCUUGUUCAAGUACAAGUACCCUCU
rnacentral:tRNA from 1 species